rnacentral:rRNA from 1 species
GACGAACGCUGGCGGCGUGCCUAAUACAUGCAAGUUGAGCGAUGAAGAUUGGUGCUUGCACCAAUUUGAAGAGCAGCGAACGGGUGAGUAACGCGUGGGGAAUCUGCCUUUGAGCGGGGGACAACAUUUGGAAACGAAUGCUAAUACCGCAUAACAACUUUAAACAUAAGUUUUAAGUUUGAAAGAUGCAAUUGCAUCACUCAAAGAUGAUCCCGCGUUGUAUUAGCUAGUUGGUGAGGUAAAGGCUCACCAAGGCGAUGAUACAUAGCCGACCAGAGAGGGUGAUCGGCCACAUUGGGACUGAGACACGGCCCAAACUCCUACGGGAGGCAGCAGUAGGGAAUCUUCGGCAAGAGACGAAAGUCUGACCGAGCAACGCCGCGUGAGUGAAGAAGGGUUUCGGAUCGUAAAACUCGGUUGGUAGAGAAGAACGUUGGUGAGAGUGGAAAGCUCAUCAAGUGACGGUAACUACCCAGAAAGGGACGGCUAACUACGUG